GUCUCUGUAGUGCAAUCGAUAGCACAUUGGACUUCUAUUCCAGAGGUUGUGUGUUCUAAUUCCACCUGGGGUU